rnacentral:rRNA from 1 species
CAAGUCGAACGAGCCUUCGGGCUAGUGGCGGACGGGUGAGUAACACGUGGGAACGUACCUUUAGGUUCGGAAUAACGCAGAGAAAUUUGCGCUAAUACCGAAUGUGCCCUUCGGGGGAAAGAUUUAUCGCCUUUAGAGCGGCCCGCGUUAGAUUAGCUAGUUGGUGAGGUAAAGGCUCACCAAGGCUACGAUCUAUAGCUGAUCUGAGAGGAUGAUCAGCCACAUUGGGACUGAGACACGGCCCAAACUCCUACGGGAGGCAGCAGUGGGGAAUCUUGCGCAAUGGUCGAAAGACUGACGCAGCCAUGCCGCGUGAAUGAUGAAGGUCUUAGGAUUGUAAAAUUCUUUCAGCAGGGACGAUAAUGACGGUACCUGCAGAAGAAGCCCCGGCUAACUUCGUGCCAGCAGCCGCGGUAAUACGAAGGGGGCUAGCGUUGCUCGGAAUUACUGGGCGUAAAGGGAGCGUAGGCGGGUUAUCAAGUUGGAGGUGAAAGCCCAGGGCUCAACCUUGGAAUUGCCUUCAAAACUGAUAGCCUAGAGUAUGAUAGAGGUAAGUGGAACUCCGAGUGUAGAGGUGAAAUUCGUAGAUAUUCGGAAGAACACCAGUGGCGAAGGCGACUUACUGGAUCAUGACUGACGCUGAGGCUCGAAAGCGUGGGGAGCAAACAGGAUUAGAUACCCUGGUAGUCCACGCUGUAAAC